UUCCCACAUAUAAAGGCAUAUACAACAUGCUUAAAUGGAGAGAUAUGAUAAAACAAAUCAAAUCAAACAUAAAUGAAUACACAACAUGAUGUCCAUAUAUGAAAAUAUAUGUCAAAUAUUUGGUUUUCCAAAUAAGCACAAGGUUGAUGCAUUAGAAUGACCAACACUAAGCAAGAUAUCAUAACAUAAAUGUUUCACAAUGUUCCUUAGGCCAAUGGACUAAUAUAUUAUUGAUAACAUUUUUCCCAAACAACAUUUAGGUCUUUUUUCAAUUUUUCGUGUAAAUUAGAUUUCAAUGCGUAUUUCGUGAUAUAAAUGGUACCAAAAUAUAUUUCAGAUGCGUAAGUGAAAGUAUGUUGUACAGCAUACACAUUGAAAUCAAAAUGAUCAUUUCAUCAACAAUGAUGUGCGUUUAUUUGACUAAUUCAAAGGUGAUAAGAACAAAGACAAUACCGUAAAUAAAAAAAACACACAGAUUGAUUUUGAGGUCAGAUUUGAGGUCAGGAAACGGUGUAUUAGCUGAGGUUCAAUGUUCAUUGUCUGAUUGGAAGUGAGGAAAUGGGUUUAUGGCAAUGGUCAUUGUUAUAUUAGAUGUCAGAAAAUAGAGUAAAUGGCUUGUCAAAUAAAUGGUGUGUUUCGUCAGCAAGAUAAUACUGUUUUAUUUUAAAUAGUUUUUAAGUUAAAGAAUUUUUUAACAAAAAAAGAAAUCAGCCAUUUUAAAUCAUAAGUUAAACACUAAAAAAUGUCUGACAACAACAAAUAAUGUUUGACCACGCAAUUCAUUGAAAAAAAUAAGCAUUUCACUCGCCGAUCCUCUAUUUCAUCUUCAAAAACCUUGAAGCAAAAUUUGACCAAAACCAAAAAUAAAAAAAAACACUCAUCAAUACUAUAAGAGAAAAAUAUAAGGAAAACAUUAUCAAGGACAAUACAUAAGAGCAAUUAAACAUGAAGACAAUAGUACACUCACUUCUUCUAACAUUGGUAUUACAACAUUUAUCAAUCAGUAAAAAAUGCAAAUUUGUGUAAAUGAACUAAUGAAUAUGAUCAAUUCUUAUAUAUUCCCAUUAUUUCACAUGUUUCAUCUUCUUAUUAUGUCAC
rnacentral:lncRNA from 1 species